rfam:Gossypium raimondii Chr03_contig_66, whole genome shotgun sequence.
AAUUAAUAUUUUCAUCUAGUUCUAUUAUAAAAUAUUAGUAUGACUAACGAAAUAACCAGACAGUUAUAUGUGGUGUGCCAUGUGUACCUUAAGUUGACGUAAAAAGACCAGUUUUUAACAAUAAAAAUAGAUGAAUUUUUUAACA